AUAACUGCAGACGGUGGAUCGCUCGGCUCCCGCGU
rnacentral:rRNA from 1 species